AUACUGAAAUGCAUGGUGGGAAAUUAGUGUGUAAUUCACUUGCUGUACCUGCAACCGUAGAGUCGGAGCGCCACCCAGUAU
ncrna:unclassified sequences AdoCbl variant RNA